UACGUAGGGUGCGAGCGUUAUCCGGAAUUACUGGGCGUAAAGAGUGCGUAGGUGGUCUUUUAAGUUAGAUGUUAAAUCUACAGGCUUAACUUGUAGGCUGCAUCUAAUACUGGGAGACUUGAGAGUAGAAGAGGCAAACGGAAUUCACGGUGGAGCGGUAAAAUGCGUAGAUAUCGUGAAGAACACCAAUGGCGAAGGCAGUUUGCUGGGCUAUUUCUGACACUGAGGCACGAAAGCGUGGGGAGCGAUC
rnacentral:rRNA from 1 species